rnacentral:rRNA from 1 species
GAUGAACGCUGGCGGCGUGCCUAAUACAUGCAAGUCGAGCGAACGGACGAGAAGCUUGCUUCUCUGAUGUUAGCGGCGGACGGGUGAGUAACACGUGGAUAACCUACCUAUAAGACUGGGAUAACUUCGGGAAACCGGAGCUAAUACCGGAUAAUAUUUUGAACCGCAUGGUUCAAAAGUGAAAGACGGUCUUGCUGUCACUUAUAGAUGGAUCCGCGCUGCAUAGCUAGUUGGUAAGGUAACGGCUUACCAAGGCAACGAUGCAUAGCCGACCUGAGAGGGUGAUCGGCCACACUGGAACUGAGACACGGUACAGACUCCUACGGGAGGCAGCAGUAGGGAAUCUUCCGCAAUGGGGGAGAGCCUGACGGAGCAACGCCGCGUGAGUGAUGAAGGUCUUCGGAUCGUAAAACUCUGUUAUUCGGGAAGAACAUAUGUGUAAGUAACUGUGCACAUCUUGACGGUACCUAAUCAGAAAGCCACGGCUAACUACGUG